rnacentral:rRNA from 1 species
GAUUAUUGAUAACGAAUAUAUAAGCUAUCACAUCUAUGAAGAACAUAGCAAAAUACGAUAAUUUUGUGUUAAUUAUAGAAUCUCAUGAAUCAUCAAGUAUUUGAACUCAAGUUAUCCCUUAUCCAUUCUCAUCCCAGCUCGUUGAGAGCCC